rnacentral:misc_RNA from 1 species
UCCGGUUUGACACCGGCAGUCCCCCCAGAGUCCCCGGCUUAACCCGCUGGCAACUGAGGGUAGGGGUUUCGCUCGUUAUGGGACUUAACCCGACAUCUCACGACACGAGCUGACGACAGCCAUGCAACACCUGUACUCGGUUCCGGGUUGGGUACCGUUCGUCCCCGUUUCCGGGUCCUACCUCCGAGCGCUUUCGCACAUGUCAAGUCCGGGAUAAGGUUCUUCGCGUAGCCUCGAAUUAAGCCACAUGCUCCACCGCUUGUGUGAGCCCCCGUCAAUUCCUUUGAGUUUCAGCCUUGCGGCCAUACUCCCCAGGCGGAGGACUUAGCACUUUCGCUCCGGCAGUAAGCCCAUGUCAGCCUACUACCUAGUCCUCAACGUUUAGGGCCAGGACUAC